UAAUACGAGGGGGGCAAGCGUUGUUCGGAAUUAUUGGGCGUAAAGGGUGCGUAGGCGGUUUGACAAGUCUGAUGUGAAAUCUAUGGGCUCAACCCAUAGUCUGCAUUAGAAACUGUCGGGCUUGAGUAUGGGAGAGGUGAGUGGAAUUUCCGGUGUAGCGGUGAAAUGCGUAGAUAUCGGAAGGAACACCUGUGGCGAAAGCGGCUCACUGGACCAUUACUGACGCUGAUGCACGAAAGCUAGGGGAGCAAACAGGAUUAGAUACCCUGGUAGUCCUAGCCCUAAACGAUGAUUGCUUGAUGUGGCAGGUACCCAAUCCUGCCGUGUCGAAGCUAACGCGAUAAGCAAUCCGCCUGGGGAGUACGGUCGCAAGGCUG
rnacentral:rRNA from 1 species